ensembl:misc_RNA Metazoa_SRP Metazoan signal recognition particle RNA
GUCGGGUGUGGUGGCGCACGCCUGUAAUCCCAGCUAUUCAGGAGGCUGAGGCAGGAGAAUCACUUGAACCUGGGAGGUGGAGGUUGCAGUGAGCUGAGAUUGUGCCACUGCACUCCAGCCUGGGUGACAGAGUGAGACUCUGUCUCAA